CACAGUGUAAGUAAUAAUAUUCUUAACAAAUUUAAUACAGAACAACCCAUAAUCAACCCAAAACCCGGUGCCACAAGUGCAUGAGCAUCAACUAGGAAUGUAACAUAAAAUACAGCAUUUGUCCGGAAUACAAUUUUGUACAGGAGAAAUAUAAAUACUCUAAAGGAGACUCUGCCGGCUGUGGGUCAUAAUAUGGAAUGCAGCUCACGUAAGUCCCCGCAUGCAUACAUGCCUCUGCUCUCACAAGGCCACUAGUCGCAUAUGUACCUGCACAAAAAUGUGCAGCAAGUGUAGUAUGAGUACGUAAUCAACAUGUACCUAGUAAGUAUCUAGCCUAACCUCGGAGGAGUAGUGACGAGGGGUCGACAUCGACACCCACUAGUGGUCCAAUAAUAUCAGGUACAGUAAAGAGGUAAGUAAAUAUGAGGCAGAGUAAAUAAAUGAGAUAAACAAGUAUAAAUCACGUGGUUCAAAUCUCCUUCUUUACGAGGAACCCAAGCUCUCCAUUAGAAAUUUCCUCCUUAACCGGAGCAUAUAUAUAGAUAUAGUGGAUCUCAUCAGAUAGAUUAUUAUUACUCAAAUCAGGAAAACUCACAGAUACAUUGUCUUCUUGCCAAAUAUUACGCACGAUUCCAUGAGGAUAUGAUUUAGGAAAUGUCGAGGCAUACGGCUCGAUCCAACAUAAAUAUUUAAACUGUGCACUGUCGAUGGUCGAACGGCACGAACCAUAGAUACAUCUAUUAAACUUCCGAGGCAAACACCCCGCUCCCAUAAAAGUGUGGUACAUAAAUCCUGCCGAGGCGAUCGGCCCGAUCCCAUAAGAGUGAAAUACAUAAUCCUGCCGAGGUGAACGACCCGAUCCCAUAAGAGUGAAAUACAUAAUCCCGCCGAGGCGAAUAGACCGAUCCCAUUAGAAUAGGAAGAUUUGACGGGUCCUUGACCCCACUCACAAAUAAACGUGUGAGUUGUAAUUUCUUUAACGAAAACCUUUCAAUGAAGUAUAUAUAUAUGACGGAAACAUAAUGUAAGGGGAGUAAAGUUAUUCGGUGACUAAUCUUGAACUCGUGAAGUCUCUACAAUAGCAAGUCUAGUCUCAAGUAGAAAUGUAAAACAGAGGAAUUUAACAGGAGAGAAAAUGCUCAAAUAGUGCAGCUACAUCAUGAUGUGAACCUAAGCCUACCCGAACAAUAAAAUGUAUGUAGAUAUGUAUGGGCUCUCGUUACAUCGCGCGUACGUAUUCCCCACAAUAAGUAGCACGCAUCAACAUACAACACCUAGGGAUAUUUCCCCCCUCACAGAGUUAGACAGGAGACUUACCUCGUCUCAAAGCUUACUUUCCAGUCCAAAAUUGUGCUUUAACUCCUCAACUCGGUGCCAAACGAUCGAAGCUUGUCAAAUGUUAUAUAAAAUAGUCAAUACAUGCUCAAGAGUUCACAUCUUAGCUAUUGAAGUGAUUUUUCCAACCCAAAUUGAAGAAUUCCUAAAAUUCACCCCAGACCCAUAUACCCAGAUUCCGAAACUUUUCGAAGAUAACCACUGCCCAUAACAUCAUGAACUCAAUAUAUGAUUUGUUCUCAAUUCCACGCCCUAAUUCAUGGUCAAAAUCAAAAAAUACCAAUUCUAGGUUUUCUACCGAAAAUCCCACAAAUUUUCCCAAAUUUUCAUGUUUAAAUCCAUGCAUAAACCAUGUAUUUAACUUACAAUAUAUGGGGAUCACUUACCUCAUUAAAGAUGACAAAAUGGCACUCCAAGAUCGCCCCCAAGGACGACUCCAACGAGAGAAAAGAGGUGAAAUGAGCCAAAACCCGAUUUAGCUAAUUUAUGUAUUCUGUCCAGGCAACCUCCGCACCUGCGCUCACUAGACCUCUUCUGCGGUUCCGCAGGUGCGGCAAAAUAUUCCGCUUCUGCGAAAGCCUCCUAGCUGCCCAGCCCGCUUCUGCAUUAAAUUCACCUGUGGACUGCCAUUCCCCCACUCCCUUUUCACAUCUGCAACCUCCUGGCCACUUUUGCGGCUCCGCACCUACAGCUAAAAUAUCGCAGGUGCGGUUACACUAGAUGACAGCAGCUCCAGCAUUCCUCCAAGCCCAAUCUCGAUCCGUUUACCAUCCGGAAUCUACCGAGGCCCUCGGAACAUCAACCAAUUAUACCAUCAUGUCUUAAAACACAAUAUGAACUUAGUCGAGCCUUCAACUCAUAUCAAACAGCACUAAAAACACAAAUCACCCUCCAAUUCAAACUUAAUGAACUUUGAAAUUUUAGACUUUUACAAUCGAUGUCGAAGCCUAUCAAAUCACGUCCGAUUGACCUCAAAAUUUGCACACAAGUCAUAAUUGACAUUACGGACCUACUCCCACUUCCGGAAUCAGAAUCCGACCCCGAUAACAAAAAGUCCACCCCCCGUAUUAGGUCUAGAGGAACAAACUAACUCCGCAAUAAAAAUGAUUUCUGGGGAAAGGCUGCGGUAGAGUGCAGAUAUGGCUUCCUCUAAUAUUGGCUUUGUCAUGAGAAUCACCUUUUGCUGUAAAUAUAAGGAAAUGAGUUUACUUUUAUAUGCACUAACUGUAAACAUACAGAAUAUUUAUAUAUACAAAAAAUAUAUAUUUUUCGGGUAUUAUAUAUUUUGAGAGUGGCUAUACAGUGUCAACUUUUCAUUAUUUGACCUUUUUCAACACAAUUUCGAAUUUUUUUUUUCAAGUAUCAACAAAAUUUAUGUCCAAACGCUAGUUAAGUAAAAGGAAAUAAGUCUAAGCUUUAUGUACCGAUAAGAUAAGAAAUACUAUCAGAUCACUUAAAUGAUAACUAUACGUUUUACACUAUACCUUUUACACUAUCAGUAUAUAUAAGUAAAAUUCAUAAGAACUUGUUAUUUAUAAUUGUUGCGAGUUUAUAACUCCAUUAGGAAUAAAAAGGUGUUUGAUGAUACCUGGAGCUUAGAAUNUUUUGCAUNNN
rnacentral:lncRNA from 1 species